UGCCAGACUCCUACGGGAGGCAGCAGUGGGGAAUAUUGCACAAUGGGGGGAACCCUGAUGCAGCGACGCCGCGUGAGCGAUGAAGUAUUUCGGUAUGUAAAGCUCUAUCAGCAGGGAAGAAAAUGACGGUACCUGACUAAGAAGCCCCGGCUAACUACGUGCCAGCAGCCGCGGUAAUACGUAGGGGGCAAGCGUUAUCCGGAUUUACUGGGUGUAAAGGGAGCGUAGACGGCGGUGCAAGCCAGAUGUGAAAGCCCGGGGCUCAACCCCGGGACUGCAUUUGGAACUGUGCUGCUAGAGUGUCGGAGAGGCAGGCGGAAUUCCUAGCGUAGCGGUGAAAUGCGUAGAUAUUAGGAGGAACACCAGUGGCGAAGGCGGCCUGCUGGACGAUGACUGACGUUGAGGCUCGAAAGCGUGGGGAGCAAACAGGAUUAGAUACCCCAGUAC
rnacentral:rRNA from 1 species